rnacentral:rRNA from 1 species
GAUGAACGCUGGCGGCGUGCUUAACACAUGCAAGUCGAACGAUGAAGCCCAGCUUGCUGGGUGGAUUAGUGGCGAACGGGUGAGUAACACGUGAGUAACCUGCCCUUAACUCUGGGAUAAGCCUGGGAAACUGGGUCUAAUACCGGCUAGGAGCGUCCACCGCAUGGUGGGUGUUGGAAAGAUUUAUCGGCUUUGGAUGGACUCGCGGCCUAUCAGCUUGUUGGUGAGGUAAUGGAUCACCAAGGCGACGGCGGGUAGCCGGCCUGAGAGGGAGACCGGACAGAAUGGAAAGGAGAAGCGGUAGGGAGUACUACGGGAGGCAGAAGUGGGGAAUAGGCCGCGAGGGGAGGAAGAGUGACGGAGCAAAGCCGAGUGAGUGAAGAAGGUCUUCGGAUAGUAAAACUCGGUUAUGAGGGAAGAACAUAUGUGUGAGUAGCUGUGCAGAUAUUGACGGUACCUAAUCAGAAAGCAAAGGCUAACUACGUG